UAGUGUUUUUCCUCUUGCAGCGUAUAAGUUGUGGCUCUUCGAGGAUAGCUCACAUUGCUUAGUUGCGCAGAGAACUAGGAGAUCUCAUCUAACUAUCUUGGCUGAGCUUGUUCAAUUGACAAGGCGGUGGUAACUUCAGAAUUUCAUGAAUGAGAAUAUUGUUUAUAUUGUCAGAAGUUCACAUCAUGUGCCUUCCCUUCAGUUUUCACAUGAAACUAAUUUUUCUCCCAUGUUUAGAAUUUAUAUAUACGGCAGGAAAGUACAGCUUAUCCAGAGACACCAAUUGGGAGAGGUACAACAUAUGCAUUUCAAAGAGAACUGGACUCUGCUAUUUCUGAUUUCACCAAGGACUCCAGUAAUAACCACAUUAUGAAAUGGGCGAUAAUCAGCGACGCUAUUUACAUCAGUGAUGACGAAGGUAAGCACCGCCAUAAACGCCAACGUGCCAAAAAGACAAGGGGUCGAGCUCCAUGUAGCGAACCAUGUCUUUGUGAGAGGACCUUAACAAGAGAUUGUUCUUCACCAGUUAGACUGAACUCUUACGCAUAGGACCAAUAUGGUGCGAACUAUGGGGCAAACCAUCGCUCACUAUCCACAAGCGCAGGUUCAUGUGACG